rnacentral:rRNA from 1 species
AUUGAACGCUGGCGGCAUGCCUUACACAUGCAAGUCGAACGGCAGCGCGGGGCAACCUGGCGGCGAGUGGCGAACGGGUGAGUAACAUAUCGGAACAUACCCUAGAGUGGGGAUAACGUAGCGAAAGUUACGCUAAUACCGCAUACGCACUAAGGUGGAAAGUGGGGGAUCUUCGGACCUCAUGCUCAUGGAGUGGCCGAUAUCUGAUUAGCUAGUUGGUGAGGUAAAGGCUCACCAAGGCGACGAUCAGUAGCUGGUUUGAGAGAACGACCAGCCACACUGGAACUGAGACACGGUCCAGACUCCUACGGGAGGCAGCAGUGGGGAAUUUUGGACAAUGGGGGCAACCCUGAUCCAGCAAUGCCGCGUGAGUGAAGAAGGCCUCGG